AUCAACGCUGGCGGCAUGCCUAACACAUGCAAGUCGAACGAGAAAGUGGAGCAAUCCAUGAGUACAGUGGCGCACGGGUGAGUAACACGUGACUAACCUACCUCCGAGUGGGGAAUAACUCCGGGAAACCGGGGCUAACACCGCAUAAUACCGCAAUGUGUCAAAUGCGUAAGCAGCUUGGAGAGGGGGUCGCGGUUGAUUAGCUAGUUGGUAGGGUAAUGGCCUACCAAGGCUGUGAUCAAUAGCCGGCCUGAGAGGGCGCACGGCCACACUGGAACUGAACACGGUCCAGACUCCUACGGGAGGCAGCAGUGGGGAAUUUUGCGCAAUGGGGGAAACCCUGACGCAGCGAUGCCGCGUGGAGGAUGAAGUCCUUUGGGAUGUAAACUCCUUUCGAUCGGGAAGAUAAUGACGGUACCGGAAGAAGAAGCCCCGGCUAACUCUGUGCCAGCAGCCGCGGGUAAUACAGAGGGGGCAAGCGUUGUUCGGAAUUAUUGGGCGUAAAGGGCGCGUAGGCGGUGCGGUAAGUCACUUGUGAAAUCUCUGGGCUCAACUCAGAGUCUGCAAGCGAAACUGCCGUGCUUGAGUGUGGAGAGGUAUGUGGAAUUCCCGGCGGUGUAUGCGGUGAAAUGCGUAGAUAUCGGAGGGAGCACCUGUGGCGGAAAGCGGCAUAUGGACCACAACUGACGCUGAUGCGCGAAAGCUAGGGGAGCAAACAGGAUUAGAUACCCUGGUAGUCCUAGCCCUAAACGAUGGAUGCUUGGUGGUAGCAGGUACCCAUCCUGCUGUGCCGGAGCUAACGCAUUAAGCAUCCCGCCUGGGAGUACGGUCGCAAGGCUGAAACUCAAAGGAAUUGACGGGGGCCCGCACAAGCGGUGGAGCAUGUGGUUCAAUUCGACGCAACGCGAAGAACCUUACCUGGGCUCGAAAUGUAGUGGACCGGGGUAGAAAUAUCCCUUCCCGCAAGGGCUGCUAUAUAGGUGCUGCAUGGCUGUCGUCAGCUCGUGUCGUGAGACGUUGAGGUUAAGUCCCGCAACGAGCGCAACCCUUAUUGCCAGUUGCCAGCGAGUAAUGUCUGGCACUCUGGCGAAACCGCCCCGGGAUAACGGGGAGGAAGGUGGGGAUGACGUCAAGUCCUCAUGGCCUUUAUGUCCAGGGCUACACACGUGCUACAAUGGGUGGUACAAACCGUCGCAAACCCGCGAGGGGGAGCUAAUCGGAAAAAGCCAUCCUCAGUUCGGAUUGGAGUCUGCAACUCGACUCCAUGAAGCUGGAAUCGCUAGUAAUCGCAUGAUCAGCACGCUGCGGUGAAUACGUUCCCGGGCCUUGUACACACCGCCCGUCACAUCACGAAAGUGGGUUUGUACUAGAAGCCGAUGGGCUAACCGCAAGGAAGCAGUCGUCCAAGGUAUAACUCAUGAUUGGGGUG
rnacentral:rRNA from 1 species